AUGGAGAGCUGCAGCUUGGUCGACACGGCCGGCGCCGCCGCUCUCUGCUCCACGCCGGGCGGGCGCCGCCGCGGCCGCGCCGGCAGCGCCGCGAGGUUCUUCAACUGCCCCGGCUCCUCCAGAGAGCACGGGGUGAGCGCGUCCUACUCCAUCGGCCGGAUGCUGAGCGGGGUGAGGUCGGCGGCGCGGAGGAAGCUGUUCAGGAGCGAGCCCGAGUGGAUGGGCGUCAACUGGCCCGACUCCACCGGCCACCAUUGGUGGACGACUCUCGAGAACAACUUCGUGCUGGAGGCCUCCGAGGACGAGUACAGCGGGGUCGUCGUCGACGCCGACAGGCUGCCGGCCGACGGGGCCGCCUUCGCCCGGUCGCUCGCGGCGUCCCUCUCCUACUGGCAGUCCGUGGGAAAGAAAGGGGUGUGGCUGAAACUGCCUGUGGAUCGAUCUGAGUUUGUUCCCAUAGCAGUCAAGGAAGGAUUCAAGUACCACCACGCGGAGGAGGCCUACUUGAUGCUGACGUACUGGAUCCCCGACGAGCCGUCUCUGCUCCCAGCGAACGCUUCUCAUCAGGUCGGCGUCGGGGGCUUCGUGAUCAAUGAUCAAAUGGAGGUCCUAGUGGUGCAGGAGAAGUACCGCGGCUGGGCGUUGGAUGGUGUCUGGAAACUCCCCACGGGGUUCAUUCAGGAGUCAGAAGAAAUAUACACGGGAGCCAUCAGAGAGGUCCAGGAAGAAACAGGGGUUGACACUGAAUUCGUGGAUGUGGUUGCCUUCAGGCACGCGCACAACGUGGCGUUUCAGAAGUCGGACCUGUUCUUCAUCUGCAUGCUGAGGCCUCUGUCGAGCGCGAUCAAGAUCGACGAAACGGAGAUUCAGGCAGCAAAGUGGAUGCCGCUGGAGGAGUUCGUGAAGCAGCCCUUCAUCCAGGAGGACCACAUGUUCCAGAAGAUCAUGGACAUCUGCAUCCAGCGGCUGAGGAAGUGCUACUGCGGCCUCACGGCGCACAACGUCGUCUCCAAGUUCGACGGCCGGCAGUCCACCCUCUACUACAACGUGGGCGAGCCCGAGGAUGUCAACUGCGACGCUGCCUGA
rnacentral:rRNA from 1 species